rnacentral:rRNA from 1 species
AUUGAACGCUGGCGGCAGGCUUAACACAUGCAAGUCGAGCGGGGACUUCGGUCCUAGCGGCGAACGGGUGAGGAAUGCUUGGGAACCUGCCCAGUAGCGGGGGAUAACGUUUCGAAAGGAACGCUAAUACCGCAUACGCCCUACGGGGGAAAGGGGGGGAUCUUCGGACCUCUCACUAUUGGAUGAGCCCAAGUCGGAUUAGCUAGUUGGUGGGGUAAAGGCCUACCAAGGCGACGAUCCGUAGCUGGUCUGAGAGGAUGAUCAGCCACACUGGAACUGAGACACGGUCCAGACUCCUACGGGAGGCAGCAGUGGGGAAUAUUGGACAAUGGGCGAAAGCCUGAUCCAGCCAUGCCGCGUGUGUGAAGAAGGCCUUCGGGUUGUAAAGCACUUUAAGCGAGGAGGAAUGGCUCUUGGUUAAUAACCUUGAGCAGUGACGUUACUCGCAGAAUAAGCACCGGCUAACUCUGUGCCAGCAGCCGCCGUAAGAC